CCCAGUGCUCACGCACUGGGCUUUAUUCUGCCGCCGUCUUCGACGGCU
rnacentral:sRNA from 1 species